GGAGGAGCUGGAGUUUCCCUGCUUCGCUCAAGCGUGACUCAUUCCGCGUCCCCCCCCCCUUUCCCUCGGCUUCUUCCUUGCCCCCGGAGAUUCCACGGAGGAAGUGGGGGGCGAAGGCAAGCGGGAGCGAUCUAGGCAAAAUUCGGCGAAGGAGGGCAGCCGGCCCUCAGGAUCCGCGGGGAGGAGACGUGGGGGGAAGGAGCUGGCAGAUCUCCGGCUCUCUCUAGCAAGCCUCUGCGUGGCGGGGCGCCUGGCCACGUGUUUUUAGUGGGAUGCGGGCUCUCGCGUACAGAACCAAACAGUGAGUCUACUGAGUGGGAAAAUGAGCAUUCAAUCUUCCAGGCGUACCCACUUAUUUUCUGAGUUAUAAAUAACAACAUCAUUUGGAAAGAUAUUGGAUCUUAGCAAUCAAAGAUGGCUGUAAACAAAUCGUUGCUUCUCAGAGUGAAAGGACAAAACAGUGAAGGACAGGACAAGGUACGGGAGCCCUAUCUCUGUUAAAUGAAGGACCAUCUGAAAAAUAGUUGGUGGCAGCAGUAAUUACCAACAAUGAAACCAAAUUGGGAAGCAGAUCAGGAUGCAUAGAUCAAGGCAAACUCGGUGAGAGGAGGUUUGUAGUCUCCAGCCUGUUACUCUGUAGGCUCAUCCUUUCACUGCAAAGUGAACUUUAGGAUACCCCACUGUAACUCUGGUCCUUCAUAUGGUCAAAACAAAAUGAAGCUGCAUCUGGGUAAGGAAGCAUCCUUGUCUAAACAGUUCAGUAGCCCUCAUCCGGGCCUUCCCCAGCCUCCAGGACUGGCCCUUGUUCUUCCUCAGCCUCAUCGCUGUCCGACUCCGCUGCCAGCUCCGCAGGCUGCUGGUGGACCACAACAGACAGCCCUGCUCUACACUGAUGUGGAAGCCCUUGGCUGGCUGAUUUGGUUAGUUAGCAGAAUAAGGAAGAAGUUUGUUUCUUGUAAGCACAUGACUCUCUUGAAAUAUCUCGGAAGGUUGCCAAGUUUUGCUUGGUGGUAACUAUCAUAAGGAAGAUCUGGAUCUAGUGCCAGAAUUAGUAUUUUUUUUAUCAGUGCUGUAACAUAAAUUAACAUAAAUUACUCAGUUUUAAUCGUAUUCUUUGUUAUAUGUAUUUGUAUAACUUUGGCUUUCAACCAUAAACAAAGUAUAUGGUAAGCCUUUGGAAAGAAUAUGGUAAGUGAACAAGAUUAUGAAUUAUCCAAUUCACCUCUUUAAUAUUGAAAUAGUCACGAAGAUAGUCCAUAUCUUCUUUUCAUGGUCCUUCCUGCCUACAUGGACUAUGCUAACUUUAUAUGGCUAA